rnacentral:rRNA from 1 species
AUGGGGAGGAGGGCGUGCUGUGCCAAGGAAGGGGUGAAGCGAGGGGCCUGGACGAGCAAGGAGGACGAGAUCCUGGCUUCCUACGUCAAGGCCCAUGGCGAAGGCAGGUGGAGGGAGCUCCCGCAGCGAGCUGGUCUGCGGCGGUGCGGCAAGAGCUGCCGGCUGCGGUGGCUGAACUACCUCCGGCCGAACAUCAAGCGGGGCAACAUCUCCGACGACGAGGAGGAGCUCAUCGUCAGGCUCCACGGCCUGCUCGGCAACAGGUGGUCCAUCAUCGCCGGCAGGCUGCCCGGCCGAACAGACAACGAAAUCAAGAACUACUGGAACAGCACGCUCGGCAGGAAGGCGCUCCCCGCCCGCCCCGCCAUUGCCGCGGCGAGGACCGUCGCCUCCGGCUCCUCCAGCUCCACGGGGAGCGCCGCGGCGGCGCUGUCUACCUCCGUCCCUGCCGUCCUCCAUGGCGCGGCGCCUUCGUCGCCGGCCGGCGCGGUGUGGGCGCCCAAGCCCGUGAGGUGCACGGGCGGCCUCUUCUUCCGCAGGGAGCAGGAGACGCCGCCGCCCGCGCCGGUCGUCGAGGAGACGCGGGCCGGAGGAGAUCAAGAGGGAGACGCCUGCAGCGGCAGCAGCUCGGAGACGUCGUCGGCCGAGCCGUGCUCGUCGGGGUCGGGCGGCGGAGACUGGAUGGACGACGUGAGAGCCCUGGCGUCGUUCCUGGAGUCCGACGAGGAAUGGCUCAAGUCCCUGCACAUGGCCGGUUAA